GGGGAGGGGGGGGGAGGCAGGAGAGAGCUGCAAAGAGGGAGGUCAGAGAGUAUUUCCUAGAAGCGCAGCAAACCAGGGAGCUCAGGAGGUCACCGAGUCCAACCCCUUGCUCCAAGCAGGGCCAGCCCCAGCUAGGUUUGUGUAUGACCCCCCCACUACCACCACCACCUCAGAUUUCAAUUUGAGUCACUUAAAAGUUUGAUAUUUCCCAACUGGUCGGGAAUGGCUGCGCAGGGCUGACCUCACGUCCUGUCAGCUUGCCCCCCCCCCCCCCCAGUUGUUUUGAUGUGCCUGGCAUGAAGCGGAUGAGACAGAUCUAUGGCUUAUUUUAAGAGGGGUGGAGGGGGAGCAGCAAGUUGCCGGAGCUUUUAAGCAAUGUUCCUCUCAUGCCAGGGAUGACUGACUUUGUCGCACGGGGAAAAAGUUCUCAAGCCGGUGUCUGGAUGACUUUGAAUGAUCACUAGCGACUGCAAGUGUGUGUGUGUGUGUGUGUGUGUGUGUGUGUGUGUGUGUGUGUGUGUGUGUGUGUGUGUGUGUGUGUGUGGAGUCCCACCUGACUCGAGAGGUGGGUAAAGACAUUGUACCUCUCUUUUGUGGACGGAAGCUGCUCUAUUUCCCCAGGCAGGAGGAGAGGAGAUGCAAACCUUCCUGGCUUGCUCUCUGUUUCAGGGACCCUACUGCCUGUGAUUAUUCCUGUCAUCUGUUUGUCCUGGCCAGACUGGCAUUUCCCUGUAUUCCCAAAGAGAAGAGAGGCUGGGGAAGAGUUAACACUUCCUUCAACCUUUUAAAAAAUUCUUCGAAUGUUGUCACAUGCUUAGGUCAUCCCCCCACUGUCAGACAUACCAGUCACUCUUGCCCCACCCUUGUCCUCAUGCACUCACAAGGACACCCCAAAGCGAAGAUAUCUCGCUUAACUGGCCGCUCACUUUUUCAGCUGUGAACUCUUUCUGGGGUCAAAGCUGUCUAUUCCUCACCCAUGAGAAGUGCUUGAUAAACAGUAAGAAAAGAAGCAAAUGCUGUGAGGCAAACUGAGUUUCCUUGAAAGGCAAGGAGAGGACACAGAUGCAGGAGGUGGUUGCUCCUGUUAAAGGUCCCUUGCAGGUACCUGAAAGAAGGUACCUACCAGCCCUGACUGAAAAGAUAACUCCAUGGAAAAGACAAGACCUUUGCACAUUGCAUUUUCUAGACCCUCCUUUUGAAUCUCAAGGGGAGUCAGAUGUGUUAGGCACAGGUGCUUCCCUCAUGCAGGACUAGGGGAACCUGUUCCCUUUUUUGCUGAUUAGGUCAUACAGGAGCCUGAGCCACCUACACAUGCUGAAUGUUAUCCAUUGCAAAGUCCCAUUAAAGUCAAGGUAGCUACUCACAGUCAUUUAAUUGAAGCACAUAUGCAAAUUUUGAGACUAUAUUAUCAGGCAAUUAAACAAGCGGCAGAUUAGGGUAUGAAUUCAUCAAUCCUGUGAAGAAUCAUAGAAAAUGAGGGCUGGAAAGGACCUCAGGAAGUAAUCUAAUUUAACCCCCUGCUCAAAGCAACACCAUCCCCAUCUAGAUCACCCCAGCCGACACUUUAUCCAGCUAGGUUUUAAAAACCUCUAAGGAUGAGGAUCCCACCACCUCUCAGGGUAACCUGUUCCAGUGCUGCACCAUCCUCCUAGUAAGAAAGUUUUUCCUAAUGUAUCUAACCUAAUAUCUAAUCUCAAGACUGGUUCAACAACAUGAUGCAACAAAAUGAGCCAGUUGUUUCAAACUGUCCAGCAUUUUCCUGAGAGUUUCUAAUUAAUAUGAAUGUACAACCCUCGUAUCAACCAAAGACUAUGCCAGGAAAGAGUGCACAUUGAAAGUUUACAGGUUCACACUUUAUUUUUCCUGAUACCCUCUAUAUUACUAGAAAUGGUGGAACUUAUAUUCAGUAGCUAGGUUUCCACAGGCCUGAUGCUACUCCUUCCUUCUUACGGUACCAAGCUGCAGGAAUGCUUAAGCAUGAAAGGUAAGAUUAAAAAGAGACAAUAUGUUGCAGGAAUAGAUCAUCAUCUGAAGUUUCUUGUGUUACGUGCCAGAACUGGUCAACUUUUUUCAAAUUUUCUAAUUUUGAUGAAAUGUUAACUUUCUCAUGAUUUACCACCUGUUUAUUUGGACCAAGUACAAAAUUGAUAGAAAUUUGGGGAAAAAAAGAGAGAAAAAAGAAAUUAGAACUCAAACAAACAAAAAGUUCUGAGGAAAGAAAGAAUACUUUUGAGAAAUAUUCAUAAUCUGCCUCUCUCUCUCUUUAAACAUCUUUAUUGCUUUCAUUUCAUGAAUAUGGGGAUCUAUUCUACUUCAGUAACAUCUGUUUUAUUGAAUUCAGUGGGAACUGGAUCAGACCUGGGGCUCACAUUUCUCACUAGUCCAAACUCUCAAAAUACCUUUGAGAGAGGCGCUAAAGAUAAAACAAAAGAAAGAGAAAGCCAUGAAUCCAUUAUUAACAUCAUAUAUGUGUCUAUAUUUUGUUUUAUUCAUAUCACCCAAAAGUCACUUUUAAUCAAAUACUGAUGGUAAGUCUAUUUCUUAGGGUAGUCAAGUGCUGACUUGUGCUUUAUUCCCUGCAUGUUCAAAUAAAGUAACUUCCCUAACCUUCUCCCAAAUGCUUUACUAAUGAAUUAUAUAGCUGCUCUUGGCUUAAAUAUGGCAGUUUUUAAACACUGCUCAGCAACAUUAUACAACACCAUGGGACAAGAAAAAAGAAAUAUUUAGAUCUGAAUAGAACCUGUAGUCUUUAUAAUUGGGAUCAGAUCCUGAGUUUUUUUUUUCCUCAUGCAGUUGAUUCCACUGUGUAACUGAUUAUAGGAUCAAACUCUAGCAAUGGACCAAAAUAAUUAGAAACUAGGAAGACAUGCCAUUGCGAUAUUAAGUAUCACUUCCUGACACAGUAACAAUAGUGUAUACAUUGGAUCCAAUAGAACUACUCAUACGCUAUUACCCCAACCAUAGGCUUCUUUGUUUGCAAGUUUAAUACAUUCUUCCAUUUAAGAAAGAAUAGCCUAUGACUUUUUUGACACUGCCAUGAUUCGAUAUGUUUUCUUUUAGAAUAAUUACUAUAGCAUUAGUGCAAUGCUAUAUUGAUAAUAAUGCCUUUCCUUCAUUUAUGAUAUUAAGUUCCAUAUAUUAAAAUCCCUGUGAAGAAAGGCCAAUCAAUCAAUACAGAAAGUUUUUAUACUCUUGUGAAACCUAUAUUUCACCUUUCUUAGAUAGUUACAUGUUUAAUUCAGCAAAAGGGUAUUUGGAAUUGUGGAAUUAAAACAUAAAGGGUUUCACACACUACUGCUCUAUGUCUCCUAUAGUUACUUAUACCAGAGCAAAGGGGAGGCCAUGCUAAUUUAUUUUUCUGUGAUUUAUUUUGAUUAUAUACAGUAGCCAACCAUAUUUGGCUCUGUUUUAUUAUUUUGUAUUGAGAAUAGAAAAGGCAAGACUUUCAGCAAUGGGAAAAAAAGUAGAAUAUUUACUAUUUAUGGAAAUUCUUCUCAUGCUUACUGGAAUCCCAUGAUACUUUUCAAAACUCAAUGUAUUCAUAUUUAUGGCCACAAUGCAUUCACAAACAUUUAAAUUACAUUUCUUUAUUAAUUCGUGGGAAUUAUUUUUCUGGUCAGGCUUUUAUACCCCGUUGUAUUGAUGCUCAAAACAGCUGAAAUCUCUACCUCAGUGAGUGGAGGUUAUUUUAAUUACUGCUAACUUAUGUAAAGGUAUUCAGAAAAAUUAAUAUAAUUAGACACACAACACUGCAUAACUCUGGGCAUGUCUACACAUCACCAUAUGGUGACAUUACUAUAGCAUCAUGCUUUUGGAAGUACUAAAGUACAGCACAGUACAAGUGGUUACUGAGCUGUGUGCAUGGCACAUGGGUAAAUUUUGCCCCUAUAUUGCCACAGCAGCAUGCUAUACCCAUGGAGUAAACCGUUAUGGUAACAUAGUUGGCAACCAUGUGUAGACACACAUGAUCACUAUGUCUCCAUAGAGCACCAUGCAGCAAUGUAGCACAUUGCUACAUCACCAUAAGGUGAUGUGUAAAGGUGCCGUCCUAGAAAAUUUUGGCAACUAGCUAAGUACAUGAAUUGAACCCAAAGUUUUAAAUCCCAGUUCAGUAUACUGUCCAUCACUGUAUCUUUCCUACUCCCAAAACCUAUCUCCUAGAGCCCAAUUCUAUAUUGCCUAUUCAUGUAAAUCUCCCUCUGUGGCCUCUGUUUAAGCAAGAUGAGAUCUAUAGGUAAAAAAGUGAGUGUACAAAUCUUUAUUUUUUUAUUGAGUGACAAGUAACACAUUUGUAAUCUUUGAAAUAUAAAUCUAUCAGUACGUCAUAUCAAUUUUGUAAUUUUUAACAACACAAGCAAAUUCAUCAUUUUGAAUGUUUUUCAAGAAAAUGUGUUAGAAAAAUUAAGUCAUUUCAGUAUUGAACUAAAGAACACCCAAAUACUUACUGUAUUUUCUGUUCCUUUGCAAAGUUCUAAAAGGUGUACUUUUGUUUUUUCAUAAGGACUUAAUGUAUGGGGGUUUGCAAUGGAGUAAACAGCCAUUCAUCUCUAGGUUGCUAUGGUAAGAUGUUUAAAAGUGUGUAAAGGACUUAGAUGCUUCUAAAAAUCCUAUCCUUAGUUCAUAAAUAACUACACUUAAUGGUUACUGAAAGUAGUUUGCAGUAGCAUCUGAUAUGCAAAAGGAGGAAGGGAAAAUCUGGAUGUGUGUAUUUGUGCAUGCAAUUGUUCCAUCCCAAGUGUAGGAUUUUGCACUUGCCCUUGUAUCCAUGAGAUUGACUGUGGACCAUUUUUCUAGUCUUUUCAGAUCUGUCUGGUUUCUAGUCCUGUCUUCCAGAGAGCCUGCAACUCUACCCAAUGUGAUGUUAUCCACAAAUUUGCUAAACAUACACCCAAAGUCAUCAUCCAAAUCACUAAUGAAGAUAUUAAACAAUACCAGAGCCAUGAGAGAGGUGUUUCAAACUGGAUUCCAUGAGGACCUGUUCCAUAAUCUUUCUAAGUAUCAAGGUCAAGCUGACUGGUCUGUGAUUCCCUGGAUCCUUCUUCUUCUUUUUCUUAAAGGGCACAAUAUUUGCCCUUUUCCACUCAUCCAGAGCCUCACCCAACCUUCAUGUGUUCUCAAAGAGGAUAGAUAAUGGCUCAGAAAUUACCUCAACCAAUCACUACCUCAAGGUGCAUCCAUUCUGACCUUGCUGACCUGAAAGCAUCUAAUCCCUAAUUUGUUCUUCUACUACACUAGGUUGUUUCUCUCCUUCUGUACCUAUGUUGCCAACUGCACUCAUCAUCAGGUAGCCACCCCUCUUUUUGAAGAUUGAAGUAUAAGCCAUUAAAUACUCCUGUAUUCUGAAAGGGUCCUAUGCAUGAAUAUUGCAUGCCUCCUGAAGCGGGGGCGGGAGGGGGGUACAGUGACCAUCCGCAGGCGGGACCAGUGAUGUCGGCAGCACGGACAUGGUGGCAGCGAGCAGGGAGGUCCCACAGGCGGCUGCCACAGUGAGGGGGGUGGUGGUGAGUGCCAGCCAGCAGUUAGCUACCACCUGCAGAUGCUGCUGGUGGAGUUGGUGGCGAGGGAGGGGUGGCAAGCGGCGACUGCCUGCAGGCACCUCUGGCAGCGUUAGUGGCAGCCAAUCUCAGGGGGUGCAUGUGCACCUGUGUGCAUCCCCUACGCAUUGCCAAUGGACCUAUGGUUUCUUGGGUCUUCCUCUUAUUCUUGACAUACUUGUAGAAUUCUUUUUUACUGCCUAUGGAUUAUUGUAGAUGGAUUUACAACUAAACAGAGCUUAGAGUUGGUAUAUCUUUUGCUAUCUAGGAGGAUAUGCUGUAUAUUUAUGCAAUUGUCUAAAUAUUUUUAUUAUGCUAGAAAAAUAUGAAUGAUUAAUUAGUUGUAAAUAAGCAAUGAAUAAACUUUGCACACAGCUUGUAUCAAGCUGCUA